rnacentral:lncRNA from 1 species
CCCAGGCCUCCUGCCGGGCAGCAGUGGGGGCCGAGUGACUCAGGGAAUUAAGCAUCCGGCUCGCCACCCGGGACCUCCAUCGAAUUUUCAGUGACCUUGUGAAAAUUGCUUCAAGCAUCUGUGCCUCUGCUUUUAAAAGUGUCUGUGGAAGAACAGCUUAAGCCCAUUCCGUGGUUGUUCCCAUGCAUUCAGUGGCCUGAGCAGCGGGAACUGCACACCAGUCUCCAGUGGCGGCUGAGCACUCCAGUCUGCAGCAGGGAACUGCUGAAUAGGCACAGAGGACACCUGCAUGCCUUCAGACCAGUCUGCAACCUUGAGCUGAAAAGCAGUAAAUCUGGGAGCUGGAGCAGUCCAUUGACGCUGAAAUUCCUCCUUGGUGAAGGCCUUUGUCAGCAGUGGUCUGCUCUUCUAUUUCAAUCUCUUCAGGAUUCUGCAGAAGCAGAGAUCAGGCAAGACCUCCCAUGGGUCGCCAUCACAAAGGCUGGUGCCACACCCGUGCAGAACUUCCUGGGCCAGCAUCCACCACAUCAGAGCUAG